rnacentral:rRNA from 1 species
AACGAACGCUGGCGGCAUGCCUAACACAUGCAAGUCGAACGAGACCUUCGUGUCUAUUGGCGCAGGGGUGCUUGACGCGUGGGAACCUGCCUGUAGGUUCGGAAUAACUCAGAUAAGUUUGAGCUAAUACCGGAUGAUGUCUUCGGACCAAAGAUUUAUCGCCUUUAGAUGGGCCCGCGUUGGAUUAGAUAGUUGGUGGGGUAAUGGCAUACCAAGGCGUCGAUGCAUGGCUGGUAGGUGAGGAUGCCCAGCCAGACUGGGACUGAGACCCGGACCAGAACCGUACGGGAGGCAGCAGAGGAGAAUACUAGACGCUGGGCCAAAGCGUGAUCAAGCAAUGCCGGGUGAGACAUGAAGGCCUUAGGGUUGUAAAGCUCUUUUACACGAGAUGAGAAUGACAGUAACGGGAGAAUAAGCUCCGGCUAACUCCGUG